rnacentral:rRNA from 1 species
CGCUAGCUACAGGCUUAACACAUGCAAGUCGAGGGGCAGCACAGUGUAGCAAUACACGGGUGGCGACCGGCGCACGGGUGCGUAACGCGUAUCCAACCUUCCCGUUACUCUUGGAUAGCCUUCCGAAAGGGAGAUUAAUACAAGAUGGUAUUCAAAUUCCGCAUGUUAUUUGAAUUAAAGAUUUAUCGGUAACGGAUGGGGAUGCGUGACAUUAGAUAGUAGGCGGGGUAACGGCCCACCUAGUCUACGAUGUCUAGGGGUUCUGAGAGGAAGGUCCCCCACACUGGAACUGAGACACGGUCCAGACUCCUACGGGAGGCAGCAGUGAGGAAUAUUGGUCAAUGGUCGGAAGACUGAACCAGCCAAGUAGCGUGAAGGAUGAAGGUUCUAUGGAUUGUAAACUUCUUUUAUACGGGAAUAAAACACCUUACGUGUAGGGUCUUGUAUGUACCGUAUGAAUAAGCAUCGGCUAACUCCGUGCCAGCAGCCGCGGUAAUACGGAGGAUGCGAGCGUUAUCCGGAUUUAUUGGGUUUAAAGGGAGCGUAGACGGGAUGUUAAGUCAGUUGUGAAAGGCUGCGGCUCAACCGCAGCACUGCAGUUGAUACUGGCGUCCUUGAGUGCGGUUGAGGUAUGAAGAAUUCGUGGUGUAGCGGUGAAAUGCUUAGAUAUCUUGAAGGGCUCCGAUUG